CGAGUGGCGGACGGGUGAGUAAUGUCUGGGAAACUGCCCGAUGGAGGGGGAUAACUACUGGAAACGGUAGCUAAUACCGCAUAACGUCGCAAGACCAAAGAGGGGGACCUUCGGGCCUCUUACCGUCGGAUGUGCCCAGAUGGGAUUAGCUAGUAGGUGGGGUAACGGCUCACCUAGGCGACGAUCCCUAGCUGGUCUGAGAGGAUGACCAGCCACACUGGAACUGAGACACGGUCCAG
rnacentral:rRNA from 1 species